rnacentral:lncRNA from 1 species
AGGGUCCCCUCUGGCUUCUGCUUGAAAGUGAAUUGGAGAGACACUCAGGGAAAUGGAGUCUGGGAAGACAGCUGUUGCAAACAUCAUGACGAGUGACAGCUACGCCUUGGACUCAGGACAGAGGGCUCACCAUGGACAGAGCCACCUCCCCAUAGUUCUAGCUAUGGGUGGCGGAGUCCUGGUCACUGCCCAGUGAACCUGGUUUAGCAGCGGGAAGAGGUCUGCACUGGGAGGCCUGCCAGGUGCCUCAACUUCCAGGUUGGGUGAGGUGCAGAGCCUGCUUUUGGAAGUUUGUUUGCCAAGGGUGGCCUGGUCCAGGGAGCCUGGUUGACUUUUCAGCACCGGGGACAGCACCUGAUCCUGCGCUGACAUGGGCUGAGAGGAGGGAAGGCCCUGG